ensembl:lncRNA
AAAAAAAAAUAUUGUUUACAUAUUAUAGAAAAACUAUAUUAAAAAAAACGAAUAAAAGGGAUAGUUCACAUUAAAAAUGAAAAAAGAAAAAAAAUCUAAUAUUUAUAAUAUAAAUUUCACGAUCUUCUCUUAUAACACAAUAAUGGCUUUAAAUUAUCUUUUGUGGGUUAUUUCACAGCCAAAUUUGAUGUGCGAUUAAUAUGUGAUUAAUUAGAUUAUUCAAUUGCCAAACUGUGUAAUUAAUUAGAUAAAAAAAUGUAAACAAUUGACAGCCCUAGUAGAAAUACUCCAAACUCGAUAGUCUUCAGGGACUAAGAUGUAUAAUAAUACAAAAGCAGGACGUCCUAUCAGAAGCCAACAUCUCAGAGAAUUGGUAAUCUUUGCAUUACAGCUGCACUCAUCACAGAGCUUGAUGAAGCACCUCAGUGGGUGAUGGAUGGGCUUCUGUGUUCAGUUUCCCGCGGGAUCGCUGUCUUGGAUGGUGAUGUUGAGUGGUGUCCCUCCACAUCUAUAGGAACAAAUCAUGGCGUCAGGUGGUGUGGCGCUCUCACUCACCCUUGCUCAGCUGAGUCACUCUUACCAUAGCGAAUACCUGCUUUAUAUCUCUCACUGACAGUGAAGAUCAAUAGUGAUGCCUCGCUCGGUGGGUGACGGUUGGGGUCCAAUUCAGCUUCUCGUGGGAGACUAACGCCUCCUGUGCUGUGGUGCAUGAGAAAUAACAACAACAGCAAUAAUAAUACAUUUGCAAAUAAGCUGUGAUGCAGUGACUACCAAUGGGAGAAAAGAAAGUGGUCGGCCACCUGAUACAGCUGGAUAUGGAAGAAGACAAAUAAUAAGAACCAUAAAAGAAUAAGAAUAACAGAAAAAACUAAAAUAAAAAUGUAUAAUUUAAUAGUAAUAGUAAAUAGUAGGCCUUCAUGUAUAAUUAUCAAUUGUGUAAUAAUAAAAUAAGUUUUAUAAUUAUAUGUAUAAUAACUACAAAUAAUUGACUUUUUCAAAAUAAAAAUAAAAAUAGUACAGGAGAUCGCUGGAGACUAGAAGGUGAGUACACAGGAGAUCGCUGGAGACUAGAAGGUGAGUACACAGGAGAUCGCUGGAGACUAGAAGGUGAGUACACAGGAGAUCGCUGGAGACUAGAAGGUGAGUACAGGAGAUCGCUGGAGACUAGAAGGUGAGUACACAGGAGAUCGCUGGAGACUAGAAGGUGAGUACACAGGAAAUCGCUGGAGACUAGAAGGUGAGUACAGGAGAUCGCUGGAGACUAGAAGGUGAGUACACAGGAGAUCGCUGGAGACUAGAAGGUGAGUACAGGAGAUCGCUGGAGACUAGAAGGUGAGUACACAGGGGAUCGCUGGAGACUAGAAGGUGAGUACACAGGGGAUCGCUGGAGACUAGAAGGUGAGUACACAGGAGAUCGCUGGAGACUAGAAGGUGAGUACAGGAGAUCGCUGGAGACUAGAGGGUGAGUACAGGAGAUCGCUGGAGACUAGAAGGUGAGUACACAGGAAAUCGCUGGAGACUAGAGGGUGAGUACAGGAGAUCGCUGGAGACUAGAAGGUGAGUACACAGGAGAUCGCUGGAGACUAGAAGGUGAGUACAGGAGAUCGCUGGAGACUAGAAGGUGAGUACACAGGAGAUCGCUGGAGACUAGAAGGUGAGUACACAGGAGAUCGCUGGAGACUAGAGGGUGAGUACAGGAGAUCGCUGGAGACUAGAAGGUGAAUACACAGGAAAUCGCUGGAGACUAGAGGGUGAGUACAGGAGAUCGCUGGAGACUAGAAGGUGAGUACACAGCGGAUCGCUGGAGACUAGAAGGUGAGUACAGGAGAUCGCUGGAGACUAGAAGGUGAGUACACAGAGGAGACUAGAAGGAGAGUACAGGAGAUCGCUGGAGACACAGAGGUGAGUAUAGAUCACUGGAGACUUAAAAUGGAACAGGUAAGACUUUGAUGAAGGAAAAUCACUUAAGGAUCCUUUACAGGCACAAGGAGUGGUCUAAGAGUCCAUAAGGGUGACCAGGCAAUGGGUGCUUCUCAAAUGGAAGGGCACUUCAUUAUAAGGCUGUAUAUCCAAGCUGCCACAUUAUCAAGCUCCAUCUAAGGAUGUCUCGAUGUUAAGGAUCCUUAGUAGGCAGUCUAAUUUACAAUGGAAGCCUGUGUGGGGCAAGACUUUGCAUUGGAAUAAACAUUUCAAAACCAUAAAACGUAUACAUUAUACAUGUUAACAUAAACUUUAUGAUAAAAUGGUUACUAACCAUAUAAGCAACGUUAUAUUCAUUUUUAACUGCUGUGAUGACAAUGUAAAUCCAGUAAUUUUCGCAUGACACACGUGGAUACUAGAAACGGAAUGUGUGUUAACAGAGCACACUUGGUAAUACUUUAUUUUACAGUGUCAUUUUUACAUGUUAUGUGCAAUUACUAUAGUAUAAUAACAGUAAAUAAUGCAUAACGCCUUGCAACUAAGUCUAAAUCAAAGCCCUAAUCCUUUAGUAAGUACAUGUUGUUAAUUAAAUAUUCCUCAGUGUACUUAAAUGUAAAAAAAGAAAUAAAAAAGAAUCAAUAAAAUAGUUUUAACCAAACUAUGCACUUUUAAAUCUUCUGUAAUCGUGUACUUCAUAGUUGUCUUUCGUAAACUGAUUUCUGUAAACACAUUCUUGUGGAAUUAACGUCUUUAUUAUUUGUCUGCUCUCUUAACAGGGACCUAAGCAGUGCUGAGAUUCUCCAGGAUCAGUACAGUCUGCUUGGAAGACAAACAGCAGUAUACUGGCGCAGUUUGGCCGCAGGUGGACAAAGAUUGCCAAACUAAUCGGCACUAGGACAGUUCUACAGGCGAAGAGCUAUGCUAGGCAGUGCUUCAAAAAUAAGGUAUGACUUUAGACCAUUUCCACAUCACUAUAUGAAUAUCUAUACGCUUUUGGUUCAGAUGUGUGGUGCUUUAAACUGAAUUCAUAUAUAAGAGAAUAAUUAUAAAUAUAGACAUCAAAGGGGGUAUUUUUAAAAUCCUCAAAAAAAUAGCGUCCUAUAAAAGCAUUCUGAAGGUGUUCACUAACAAUAACAAUGUCAGUAACACCCGAUGUACUUGUUACAUCGUAAGAAGAAUGGCAUCUACGCUAAUAUCAGUCUGUCUCAUUCGUAUUCUGAGGUCACUAUAGCCACCCAGAUCCAGUCUGUAUCCAGAUCAGAUGGUCACUGCAGUGGCCCGGAUCCAGUCCAGAUGGUGGAUCAGCACCUAGAGACGACCAGGACAACCCUGAAUGUCAGAAGAGAUCAUGUCAACUAGAAGAGUCCCAAAGACAGAUCCCCAGCGAAAGACCUCGUCAACUAUAGGGCCACUGGCACAAAACCUCAGCAAAGACCAUGAUGAACCACAUCAUAUUCGUCAGUGGAGAAUUGCUCCUCCCCACAGAUUGAGUCUGGUUACUACCAAGGUUUUUUCUCCAUUUCGUAUUGCCUUUGGCUUGCUUAGGUGGGGACACUGCAUUUUUGGGGUUAUUAACGACUUGAUUUCACAGACAAUAUAUGAAGAGAACUGAACUGAGCUGGAUGAUGAUGACAUCAAUGAGUCAACGAUGAACUGACUUUUACUGAAAUAUUGCCUGUUUAUUUUUUUACUUUUUAGAGCUGCUUUACAGCAUAACUGAAUUUUGUUUGCAUUAUCUACACUAUUUUCCUGUUUAACAAUGUAAAGCUGCUAUUACACAAUCUGUUUUGUAUAAAGCACU